GUAGAGCUGUCAGCCGCACCCAGGCCGCGCUUCUAGCAAAGUUGCAAAGCAACGGGCAGACCUGUCAGAACGGUGAAGAUCCCGGCGAUGGAAAAAAGGCGAAACUGCUCCGCGUAGGCUGCUCGGAGUGGCAUCGCACCUUGUUCGAGUCCGAAGAAGUUCCCGCUUCUCUAAGCCGGCUGAAGGGAUGCGAGUCUCCUCUUGUCCCAACGGGACUGUGUCCUGACACAGAGUGGACUCCGCCCCAAGAGUGCGAGCGUCCUGAGCGUUCAGGGCAUCCUGAGCCGCGGAAGGCAUCCGGCCACACCCCGCUCUUUACCCGCCAACGCCAGCCCAGGUGGCCAGGCUCAGAAUGGACUGUGAGCCUGUGUGUUAUGCAUCUCUGGUUGUAGAGACAAAAGGACAAAGAUGGAACCCACCAAGGAUGCUCCCGGCUGAAUGAAUUGUUGUUCUCUGGCUUACACAAAGUCAAGCGAAUGAUCGUCCCAUGUUAUGUAAUAUAGCAACGGCCUGCUUACCUUACUCCUUUAAUCUACGUUAUUCUGGAAAGUAACACUUGAAAUAAAAAGUAGAUACAUUCUACUGGGAAUGUGACCCUCAGAGAAGGAAAGAAAGACCGAGGGGUUGAACCUGAACACGUGAAAGAGAAUCCAAGGUAAUUGGGGAAGCAUUGUCAAGAGCUCACUAGCUAUUUAAGAAAAAAGCAUCCCAUGUAUCUUAAUAAAUUUUGUCUGAUUGAUGGCUUUUUGAUGGGCCAGAGAGGAGUGAGAGAGAGCCAGAGAGACACAGAGACAGGCAGACAGACAGCAAGGAGGAGUUUUCUUCUCUAUCAGCAGCUAUCUCUGUGUGAGGGUUUCUCCCUUCAAAUGUCAAUUCUGCCAUCCCUGUAGGGAACCUGCUUGGUACUGCCACAUCAGAGAAGCCUCGGGUAAGGAGACUGGAUGCUUGGAAUCAUGGAUACUCAGAGCACUGUUAACAAAGAGCAGAGUCCAGUCUUCCAGAGUCAUGACCUGAAUCCAAAGUUGAAAAGAUCUGAGCAGUGUAUAAACAGCCUGUCAUAACCUGCAUAAUACAUUUUUAGUCCUGAAUAAAUCUAUUCACACUUCUUUCUAUAAUCAUACUUAUGUAGAUAAGGUUGGCAGGAGGAAGGUGAAGUAUAUUUGAAGGUAUAUGUUUAUAACAGCUUUAACCUCAAGUCAUGUUUAUUUAUAAGAGAAAACGACAGUGGAAUUUGGAAAAUUAAGAAAUGAUUCUUACCAGACAGUGGUGGCACACACCUUGAAUCCAGCACUUGGGAGAUGGAGGCAGGUAGUUCUCCAAUUUUGAGGACAGUCCAGUCUACAGAGUGCGUCAGAGGACAAUCACAGGACCACGUAGAGGAAUUUUAUCUCGAAAGAUUGAAAAAGUAAAGCCUGAUUCUACUCAAAAUGUUUGAGCAGUAGGGAGAGUGUCAGAUAUCUGGUCUCACACAGUCUCAUGAACAGCUGCUUUGGGGGAAGGGCCGAAGGAAGAAAACUCUCGUGUGAGCUUUAUAAAUUCUCGCCAUAGACUUUCCCUAAGAGACUCUUUCCUGUUCUCGUGAUGCACUAAUGACAGAAAUCAUAUGACUAAUGGAGAGAAACUGGUAGAUAUACAAGAAGAACUGCAUUGGGAUAACCGCCAUCUUACAAAGGUAUGCAUCCAGGCCUAUUCUGCCCUUGGACCACAUUGUACGUUUAGUGUUUCGGAAGAGAGAAAUCAUCAAAGGCGCACCCAAAGAAACAUCCGAAUGAAAGCUCAGUGGCGUUUGCUUUUCCCAAGGACCGGCAUCAUGGUUUCAGAGUUAACACACUGGAGAAAUACCUAGCCCUCCAUGUCACUCCCUACAUCCUCAACACUCACUCAGAGAGGGGCAUUGAAGAAAGGAUCACCAGUGAGUAGUACUUCUCAAAGAGAAAGCAGAAGAGUUUAUUGCUGCUGAAAGUCUCUGAAUAAAUCCAUGCGCCAAAUCACAACCCGAAAAAGCUCCAGAAAGGAUGCACAUGGUCUAAAAAAUGGAGAGACUGGUGUCCUAUGCCCUGUCUUGUUACCCUGAGACAUGAUGUUGGGUAGAGUUGGUCUAGGUACAAUAUUAUUGAAUUUGCAGGUGCCUAAGUAUAGGGGUCUCACACUGCCAUAUACAGUCAUUAUAGUGUCGGGAGACAAGAAAAUCUUUUUUCGGUGCAUCUGAGAACAUUGGAAAAAUAAUUGCAAUGGCCUGCAGACCUUAGGGACUUUUUGGAGAAAUACAGUGUGACCUCUGAAAAUGCUUUAGAUUCUGUCAAAUAUCAAGAUGCAGAUCCAUAUCAGUGAUUACCAAAAAGGCCAGUAUUCAUUGUUCUUGAAGCUAGUCACAGAUAGACACCAAUCAAGAGUCAAAUGCUGUAUCCUCUAACCAUUUAGAGCUUGGAUGCAGCCCUGAGUAUAAAGGAAGUACUGUGGACCCCUUCACCACACAAAGGUCAUAUGUUCAAAUCUCACCCCUCCCAAAGGUGAUGAUAUUAGGGGGCUGGGACUUCCAGGAGUGAACAGAACAUAUUCCCUUAUUAAAAAGGCUCAAGGGAGCUCACUUACCCUUCUGUCAAGUGACAACAGACAGCUGCUGUGAGUAAUUAAGUGUGUUCUAGCCACAGACCCUGCCAGUGCCUUGAUCUUGAAUUUUCUAGCCUGCAGAAGUAUGAGAUGUUUCUGUUAUGUAUAAUUUACUCAAUAUAUAGUAGGUGUUCUGUUAGCUUAUUUUAAAAUGCAAUGCCUGUAUUUAUCUUGAAAAUAAAGGACUUUAGGAGUGUGUGUGUGUGUGUGUGUGUGUGUGUGUGUGUGUGUGUGUGUGUGUGUUCACAUACAUAGCAUAGACAAUAUGUAAGAACUGUGUUCAGUUAUGGAAAAAAUAAAGCCACUUUGCCAUA
rnacentral:lncRNA from 1 species